GACGAACGCUGGCGGCGUGCUUAACACAUGCAAGUCGAACGGAAAGGCGCGGAGUUUGUGGGGUGCUCGAGUGGCGAACGGGUGAGUAACACGUGAGGAACCUGCCCUUGAAUGUGGGAGAACAUCAGGAAACUGGGGCGAAUACCGGAUAGGAGCUACUGCUGCAUGGGGGGGGUUGGAAAGUGUCGGCGGUGGGGUAUGGACUCGCGGCUUAUCAGCUGGUUGGUGGGGUAGUGGCUUACCAAGGCUUCGACGGGUAGCCGGCCUGAGAGGGUGACCGGCCACCUUGGUACUGCGGUACGGCCCAGUCUCCUACGGGCCGCAGCAGUGGAGAAUCUUACACAAUGGGCGGAAGCCUGAUGCAGCAACGCCGCGUGCGGGAUGCCGGCCUUCGGGUUGUAAACCGCUUUCGCCUGUGACGAAGCGUGAGUGACGGUAAUGGGUAAAGAAGCACCGGCUAACUACGUG
rnacentral:rRNA from 1 species